AGCGUGCUGCAGUUGCCAAAAAAGCCAAUACAGGCAUAGUCUCAACUGCUCUGUGGGUCUACUGCAUCGAUAAAGGAAAACCGAGUCUUUCAAAUUCUGGAAAGUUGGUUUAAUCUUUUUCUUGCAAGGACACCAAGAAAACAGCCAAGCAAAACAACUAAAGUCAGCUCUAAACUGAGUUUAACAGGGUACUGUAUUUAUGCAUAGUUCCCAUUAUUACCCCUCAUUAUUCAAUCACUGUCAUCGGAGCUAACAUCCGUAGCUCAAUUAAUCCCUCAUUACCAUCAAUUACUAUGUUACAAUAACCAAUAUAUAAUGUAAUCCGCCACCAAUACCAUUAAUACCACUAUCCCGUCACCAACAACAUUUCUGCAACAUUUUGUUCCAUAAAAUGGCUCCCCAUCUGUACACCCUUCGUGUGUAUGCUCCAGGAUCAUUGCUGUUAAUUGGUCGCCGCCCACAUCAUCAUCCAGCGUGUGCAGCCGUGACGACGCGCUCCGGAACCACAGAAUCCCUGGACCAACACCUUCAGCCUCCUCCAUAGCAUCGGAGCUUCGUUGGUCAAUUGUGUUGCGUGGGCGCGACAGGCGGCCCCCUCUACCAGGACCUGGCCUACAAAACAGUAACAAAUAUUGAAGAACAUUCCUGCGGAUUCAUGAAUCAAGGAUUUUAUCAAUCUCAGCAUGGGUGGAUUCCCCAAGUGUGACAGGUUCCUCGACCUGGGGUACACUGUAGUGUUGCACAUACUUCAAUAAAUUAGCGUGGAAUACAGAUGGAUUUGCCCUAAUCGUGCUGGUAACUUCAACUGUACAGUGAUGGGGUUAAUCACUUUAGUGAUUGUGAAUGGUCCAAUAUAUUUUGGUCCCAGUUUUCUACUGUUUAGUUGUAACUUUAUAUAUUUUGUUAAUAGGUAAAUGUAAUCGCCAACUUUGAAUGGUU